AGGUCGUCGCUCCUCCAGUGAGGAUGGUGAAAUACAGACGGGCCAAGACAACCAGCAGCAACUGUACUCUUCUCUUCUCCACGGCGACAUUAAUGUUUAUGAACCGAUCAACCUCCCGAGAAACACGAAUGAUGAACAUCUUGAAAACUACGACAAUUUUCCGCCCAGGUCCAUUUAACUUCACUGACUUUUCAUAUUUAAUGCAAGAACUUAAAGGUGCAGUGUGUAACUUUUCUGCUGGAGGCUCUGCUACUUGCAUGUCUCCUAGGAGAUGUUCCUGCUCUGCCUUGAUUAUUUCACACAUGGAAAUAAACUUGGUUAUCACAGUGGAGAAGUUAACAGUCAGAUCUACGGAGGGGCAAGUCUGUACAGAGCAACAAUUCAAGUUUUUUUGUUUUGUUUUUGUUUUUUUGAGCUUCAAACACCUGUGACUGAAUAAAUCCAAGACUGUUGUGUUUAAUGCCAGACUGUGUAACAUUUCACUAGGGGUGUGUAAAAAUAUUAAAAUAUCGAUGUAUUUUUUCAUUUUAUGGUUUAAUGAUACAGGAUCGAUAUCGUGGGCUGCUGUUUCGAUAUAUCGCCAAGAGUAUUUUUUAUUUUGUUAUUUUGUGACCUUCUUCCUCUUGUGUAAAUCUGUGAUUUUAUAUUUUAUUAUUUUUCUAUUUUAUUUUGACUUGUACAUUUACAUUUAUAUAAUUCUGUUUUAUUUCACACGUGUUUCUUUUCUGCUUCUUAUUUAGAAUUUAUUAUCACAUUUAUAUU